GACGUAGGGGGCCAGCGUUGCUCGGAAUUACUGGGCGUAAAGGGUCCGUAGGCGGCGCGGUAAGUCGGGAGUGAAAUCUCUGGGCUUAACUCAGAGGCUGCUUCCGAAACUACCGUGCUAGAGUGCGAGAGAGGCAAGUGGAAUUGCGGGUGUAGCGGUGAAAUGCGUAGAUAUCCGCAGGAACAUCCGAGGCGAAAGCGGCUUGCUGGAUCGCAACUGACGCUGAGGGACGAAAGCUAGGGGAGCAAACAGG
rnacentral:rRNA from 1 species